GCAGCGGUGGGCUGAGCUAAAAUGGCUGAGGAGAGAGUCGCGACGCUCCAGAGUUUCCUAUUUUGGAGAAGCAGAACUGGUUGAUUCAUCUUCAUUAUAUCCGGAAAGAUUAUGAAGCCUGCAAGGCUGUUAUCAAAGAACAGCUUCAAGAGACUCAGGGAUUGUGUGAAUAUGCUAUCUAUGUCCAAGCAUUGAUAUUUCGCCUAGAAGGAAAUAUCCAAGAAUCCCUAGAACUCUUCCAGACAUGUGCAGUUCUUAGUCCUCAGAGUGCUGAUAACCUCAAGCAGGUGGCCAGAUCUUUAUUUCUUUUGGGAAAACAUAAAGCUGCCAUUGAAGUAUAUAAUGAAGCAGCUAAACUCAACCAGAAAGAUUGGCCUAGGAGAUCAGCCAUAACCUAGGAGUUUGCUACAUAUACCUGAAGCAGUUCAACAAGGCACAAGACCAGUUGCACAAUGCCCUGAAUCUUAAUAGGCACGAUCUGACUUAUAUAAUGCUGGGGAAGAUCCACUUGCUGGAGGGAGACUUGGACAAGGCCAUUGAAGUCUACAAGAAAGCAGUGGAGU
rnacentral:lncRNA from 1 species